CUCUCCUACGGGAGGCAGCAGUGAGGAAUAUUGGUCAAUGGCCGGAAGGCUGAACCAGCCAAGCCGCGUGAAGGACGAAGGUGCCAAGCAUUGUAAACUUCUUUUGUCGAGGGACAAAAUCAGGCUCGAGAGCCUGACCGAGGGUACUUGAAGAAAAAGCAUCGGCUAACUCCGUGCCAGCAGCCGCGGUAAUACGGAGGAUGCGAGCGUUAUCCGGAUUUAUUGGGUUUAAAGGGUGCGUAGGCGGACUGUUAAGUCAGCGGUAAAAACCCGGGGCUAAACCCCGGCGUGCCGUUGAAAAUGGG
rnacentral:rRNA from 1 species